rnacentral:snRNA from 1 species
UUGCUUUGGCAGCACAUAUACUAAAAUUGGAACCAUACAGAGGAGAUUAGCAUGGCCCCUGCGCAAGGAUGACAUGCAAAUUCAUGAAGCAUUCCAUAUUUUU